AAAGUGUCCAAAGGGCCACGCACCCUCUGAAGCCUGUAGGGGAAUCUUUUCUUUCCUCUUCAUUGUUUCUGGUGGGUGGUCCGUAAUCCUUGGUGUUCCUGGCUUGUAGCUGCAACACACCAAUCUGUGGUUUUGCCAUCACAUGCCUUGUCCCCAUGUUUCUGUUUCUUCAUGUGCCCAUUUUCUUAUAGGGGAACCAGUCAUAAUGGAUUGGACCACCUUUGUUCCAGUACUGCUUCAUUGCAACUAAACAUCUGCAAUGACCUAUUUUGAAAUGAAGUCAUAUUUUGAGGUCCUAGGGGUUAUGACUUUAAUUCAAUUCAACCCAUAGCAUUGAUACACUGAGUGGAAUACAGGCCAUACGGAAAAUGGACUGCUUCUCAGUAAUUGAUAUAACAUCAGUGAGACUUUGCUGGCAAAAUUGAUUCAAAUCAAACCAGAAAAAUUCAGCCUCAAAAACUGAAAAUGAGGGGAAGGAACCUGCAUGAGUGUCUGAUUCUACAGCCAGCUGUUUUUGAUCCCACAGUGGAGAUGGAUCCAUUAGGUACUCUGUCCAAUGCCAAUGUCAUCAAAAUUAAGCCAUUCGUUUCUCUUACCAAAGUCUGGGCAUAUCCUGACU
rnacentral:lncRNA from 1 species